rnacentral:rRNA from 1 species
GAUGAACGCUGGCGGCGUGCCUAAUACAUGCAAGUCGAGCGAACGGACGAGAAGCUUGCUUUUCUGAUGUUAGCGGCGGACGGGUGAGUAACACGUGGAUAACCUACCUAUAAGACUGGGAUAACUUCGGGAAACCGGAGCUAAUACCGGAUAAUAUUUUGAACCGCAUGGUUCAAUAGUGAAAGACGGUCUUGCUGUCACUUAUAGAUGGAUCCGCGCUGCAUUAGCUAGUUGGUAAGGUAACGGCUUACCAAGGCAACGAUGCCUAGCCGACCUGAGAGGGUGAUCGGCCACACUGGAACUGAGACACGGUCCAGACUCCUACGGGAGGCAGCAGUAGGGAAUCUUCCGCAAUGGGCGAAAGCCUGACGGAGCAACGCCGCGUGAGUGAUGAAGGUCUUCGGAUCGUAAAACUCUGUUAUUAGGGAAGAACAUAUGUGUAAGUAACUGUGCACAUCUUGACGGUACCUAAUCAGAAAGCCACGGCUAACUACGUG